rnacentral:rRNA from 1 species
UACGAAGGGGGCUAGCGUUGCUCGGAAUUACUGGGCGUAAAGCGCACGUAGGCGGCUUUCUAAGUCAGGGGUGAAAUCCCGGGGCUCAACCUCGGAACUGCCUUUGAUACUGCAAAUCUCGAGUCCGGAAGAGGUGAGUGGAAUUCCUAGUGUAGAGGUGAAAUUCGUAGAUAUUAGGAAGAACACCAGUGGCGAAGGCGGCUCACUGGUCCGGUACUGACGCUGAGGUGCGAAAGCGUGGGGAGCAAACAGG